UCCAGGAUUCUUUGAUAGGAAGUAAGUGAACUUUCAAACUUGGGUGAUAACUUACCAUCUAACACUCAUAAUCUUCUCUCAUCUACUUCUACUUCCAGGCUUUACUUAACAAACAAAACAGUGGUUAAUUACCGGUUGAAGCAAUAGAAUGCAUUUAUAAGCCUCAUGAUGUUUAGGUAAUUUGUUUAAAUAAUGUAAAAAUAUUUAAUUUUAUGAUUGAUUUUGAUAAACUCAGAAAAUACUUUAGUUGAAACUCAGCAAUUUUCAUUUUUAUAAAGUGUUUGUUCUAUUUCUGCUUCCAUUUUCCACUAUUGCAUAUACUAAUAUUGUAAUUUACUUCAGUGUGUUGGGGACAAAAAUAAAGACAUUUGUAAUGUAACUAUGUCUUUAAAAGCUUCAAUACCUUUUAUGAUCCAACAGGCAGAAAGUAGAGGUGAUGCAAUCUUAUUUGCAAAAAAAAUAAUAUGUUUUAAAAUAUUGCUUUUGCAUUUGGACAUUCAAAUACAUGUUUUCUCAAUAAUCUAUAGAAAAUAAUGGGGUUUUUAUCCUAAAAUGUUAGAGUCACUUUUGCACUAAGCUUUUGAGUACGCCAAAUGAAUUGUUGGACUUUUAAAGAGGUGGUAUUUACCCUAAAUGUUGUGAGGAUUAGAACUGGGGAAGAGCUUUGAUCUCCAAAAGCAAACACAGAAAUGCUAAGCAGUCAGCUUGGUAAAUCACCCAGCCCAGAGGAAGCAGAAACAAUCACACCCCAGAUUUCUUUUUGGAAUGUUGCUAAUGCCACCUCACGUUUCAUAUGUUGCCCUGGAACUCCUUUGUUUUUGCUUAAAAAUUCCACACCAUUAAAAUGCUUUCAAGCAUAAACCACAGCAUAGUAUGUCUAUAUAGUCUUAUUCUUCAGUCAUUUAUUUAUUAAUUCUUACUUCAUUCCACAAAGCUGUAAAAAAGAAUCAGCUUUGAUAGUAGAUAAAAAUAAGGGGUGUAUAUUUCUUUGCCAGUGAGGAGGAAAAGCAAACUAUCAACAAAAAGUGGGAAGCAACAUUCAGGGCCUGCAGCUGCUCAGAAUCAUAGCAGUAAGUUCCUUUUUCCACAUUGAUCUCCACUAAUCCUGGGACCAUGAUUGUCCCAGUUUUCACUAAUAACUCACUGAAGUUCAGAACUUGCUUGUCACCAGAGAAAUACGUUAAGUGUUGAGUUGAGGUUUCAAAAUCAAGAUUUGCCAUCCUAAAACCACAUAUCUUUCCACUGUAUAACAUUACCUGCCAAAAGGCAAUCAACUUUUCCUGUUACCUCAAAGGAUUAGUUUAAUGAUAGUGAAUUCUUUCCUCCCUCAAAUCCUACCAAAGGGAAGUUCAAUUCCCAAAUAGUUUAGAGCUAUUGUUUACAUUAUCACACACACCAAGACUACAGGUUUCAUAAGAAAUUUAUUCCGUUAGAAUGAAAAAUGCAAACUGUUUUGUAAAUUGUCUUUAGUUGGUCACGUGAAUCAGGCCAUAAGUGAACAACCUGGGUGAAUGUUUCACAAUGCUCUGGCAAACUUAUUUGUUUCCUCUUCUUCCUUUUCCCAGAUGAUAGGCUUUCAAACAAAAACUCACCAAAAAAAGUUGCUUACACAUUUUUUUCUCUGACCUCACAAACAAUAAGUAUUCACAAACAAUAAGUAUGAACCAUGUUUUGAAAAUACGUCAUUUCAGUGGACUUUUUCCAAAUUUUUAUUUAGUGUGAUAUGCAGCACUAACAUUAAUCAUAAAAAGUAGAUAAAAUGUCUCAUAUUAAAAAUAUACAUGAGGGAUGCCUGGGUGGCUCAGUGAUUGAGUGUGUGCCUUUGGCUCAGGUCAGGAUCCCAGGGUCCUGGGGUCAAGUCCUGCAUCAGGCUCCCUACAGGGAGCCUGCUUCUCCCUCUGCCUAUGUCUCUACCUCUCUCUGUGUGUCUCUCAUGAAUAAAUAAAUAAAAUCUUAAAAAAAUACACAUGAGAUGAUUAGAAUAUGAGAACAAAAUAAAUAAUAUAAAGUAUAGAUUCUCCAUGCAAUCACUCAUCUUUAGUACAUAAAGCAAUCUU
rnacentral:lncRNA from 1 species